rnacentral:rRNA from 1 species
GUACGAAGGGGGCUAGCGUUGCUCGGAUUGACUGGGCGUAAAGGGGCGCGAUAGGCGGUUCGGUACAGUCAGACGUGAAAUUCCUGGGCCUCAACCUGGGGGCUGCGUUUGAUACGUGCGGACGUUGAGUGCGGAAGAGGGUCGUGGGAAUUCCCAGUGUAGAGGUGAAAUUCGUAGAUAUUGGGAAGAACGACCGGUGGCGAAGGCGGCGACCUGGUCCGAUACUGACGCUGAGGCGCGAAAGCGUGGGGAGGCAAACAGG